rnacentral:lncRNA from 1 species
GAUAACAAUUGUAUUCCAAAUCAACACCUUGUGCAUAAAGUGAAAAGAAAGCCAAAACACUCUCAACUCAAUUCUGAAAUAUUUGAUUACAACUCUUGAUGUCCACAAAGAAGAGUUCCUUUGGAAUUAUAGCCAAAGAAAUCAAUGAUAAGUUACAAGACAAUAACUACAAUUGUAACUCCCACAAUAACUAUGCUAAUUAUGUGAUAAUUACAAUUGUAACUCCAACAAUAACUAGGUUAAUUAUAGGCAUGUAAUUGUUAUGUAAUUUCUUGUAACUCCAAUCUUCUUAACAAACACCACUAAUUGUUUGAUGCAUCAUAUAGUUAUGGGCUCAUUCUUGUAAUAACACUAAGACAAGACUUAGGCCCAACAUAAGUUACACUUGACUAUAUGG